ensembl:lncRNA
GGUACUGGUGAUACUGGGAGCGCUGGGAGGUGACGUCAUCGUUAUACUGGGAGCGCUGGGAGAUGACGUCAUGGUGGUACUGGUCAUACUGGGAGCCGCCAUGUUGGUACUGGGAGCACUAGGAGCCGCCAUGUUGGUACUGGGAGCGGCCAUGUUGGUACUGGUGAUACUGGGAGCACUGGGAGAUGACGUCAUGGACAUACUGGACGUACUGGGAGCCGCCAUGUUGAUACUGGGAGUACUGGGAGAUGACGUCAUGGUCGUACUGGUCAAACUGGGAGCACUGGGAGCCGACGCCAUGUUGGUGCUGGUUAUACUGGUCAUACCGGGAGAUGACGUCAUGGUUGUACUGGUCAUACUGGGAACCGCCAUGUUGGUACUGGUCAUACUGGGAGCCGCCAUGCUGGUACUGGGAGCACUGGGAGAUGACGUCACAGGCGUACUGGUUAAACUGGUCAGACUGGGAGCCAUACUGGUCAAACUGGGAGCACUGGUCAAACUGGGAGCAGCCAUACUGGUCACACCGGUGGCCUUGGUGACACUGGCACUGGUAGCACUGGUGACACCGGUGACACUGGAACUGGUCAAACUGGUGACACUGGGAGCGGUGACAUUGCUCAAACUGGUGACACUGGAACUGGUGACAUUGGUGACACUGGAACUGGUCAAACUGGUGACACUGGGAGCCGUUGCCAUGGUGACACUGGUCAUACUGGUGGCACUGGCAGUGGCCUUGGUGACACCAGGGGUGACGGUGACACCAGCAGCGCUCAUACUGGUGGCACUGGUGACACUGGAACUGGUGACAAUGGUGACACUGGGAGCCGUUGCCAUGGUGNCAACAAAAUGGGCGUGUCCUUAUCAGGUGGGUGGAGCCUAGUUCUAGAAAAAUAAUUUAUAACAUUUGCAUUAAGGGGCGGGGCUUCACCAAUGGGCGUGGCCUAUGUUAGGAAGCGAAUUCCUCCAAUUUACACUACAGGGGGUGGAGUUACACCUAGUGGGCGUGUCCAGUGACAAAGUGGGUGUGUCCUUACCCGAUGGGCGUGGCCUAAUUUUCAAAACGAAAUUCCUUCAUUCUGAAUGGGGUGGGGCCUCAAGUAGUGGGCGGGGCCUAACUUUAGGAAAGGAAUUCUUCCUAUCCAGAUUAGGGGGUGGGGCUUAAUUAAGUGGGCGUGGCUUUAGUGAGGAAACUGAUUCCCCCUUAUCUGCAUAUGGGGGUGGGGCUUAACUUGGUGGGCGUGGCCUAUUAUGGGAAUGGAAUUCCUCCAAACUAUACAGGAGGGUGGGGCUUAACCCAGUGGGCGUGUCCACGGGCAGAGGGGGCGUGUCCUUACCCGGUGGGCGUGGCCUAAUUUUCCAAAAUGAAUUUCCUUCAAUCUGAAUGGGGUGGGGCCUCAAGUAGUGGGCGGGGCCUAGCUUUAGGAAAGGAAUUAAUCUAAUCCACAUGAGGGGGGUGGGGCUUAAUUAAGUGGGCGCGGCUUUAGUCAGGGAGGUGAUUCCCUCUUAUCUGCAUGUGAAGGCGGGGCUUAAUUUGGUGGGCGUGGCCUAAUACAGGAAUGGAAUUUUUUCAAACUGUACAGGAGGGUGGAGCUUAACCCAGUGGGCGUGUCCACGGGCAGAGGGGGCGUGUCCUUACCCGGUGGGCGGGGCCUAAUUUUCAAAACGAAUUUCCUUCAAUUAGAAUGGGGUGGGGCCUCAAGUAGUGGGCGGGGCCUAACUUUAGGAAAGGAAUUCUUCCUAUCCCGAUAAGGGGGUGGGGCUUAAUUAAGUGGGCGUGGCUUUAGUCAGGGAAGUGAUUCUCCCUUAUCUGCAUGUGGGAGUGGGGCUUAAUUUGGUGGGUGUGGCCUAAUACAGGAAUGAAAUUCCUUCAAACUAUACAG